CAAUCUUUUGUACCAUAACAUGGUUGAAAGAAUCAUAUCAGUUGAAUAAGUAUUAAAACAAAAUCUAAUCUAGACAUAAAGCAUGGAUGUUACCACACCGCGACUCGGUCCACCGAUAUUUCUCAUUCUUGUUUCUGUGACGAGGUCAAUAUAUGAAUCAAAUUCUAUCCAGGACAGCAACAAGCCAGAACCACGAAAACAAACUGAACAUAGCCACAACUACAACAAGAAGACAUGGCAAUAAUGGCAGAAGCAUCAAAGUAGCAAAGGAAAAUCUCUUCCUGGAAGCACCGCUGGUUGGAAAUACAGAAGGAAGAGAACAUUCCUCCUCCUUGAAGAAGACUUUCGUGGGAAAGGCCUCACCACAAACGACACUGAUUCCAGGAGUAGUUUUCUUUUCGUCAGUAGUGAUGUUUGAUUUGGACUUAGGAUCUCUUGGGCAACACACAUUAGUCCCAUUCUUACCUAACAGUAACAACCAUAAAAAAAAUAAAAAAAGGUUAAUUACACAAAUACAAAUUCCUAAACUAAACCAAAUUAAGUUCCUGUUUCAAUAAACAAUAUAAUUAAAAGCUUAAAGCAUAAGUUCUUAUCAUAUAGGUGCAUUAUUUCCAUAAUAAAAGAUCAAAAUAAAGUCAAAAACCAUUUUCGGUAUAAGCUAUAAGCUGUUUGCAUAGGCGGGGUUUGUAUGUUCUCUAAAACAGUCUCACAAAUGCUUAUGUCAGCAGUACAUAAGUCCUCUAAAACCUUCUCACAAGUGCUUAGGUAAGUAGAUAAACUCGAAUAAAUCGAUCCAAGCAAACCAUUAUUCAACAAAUUGCAAUACCCUUAAUCAAAUCUUAGAUCAAACAAAUUGCAAUCCAAAUUUCAACCAAAUAAAUAAUUUCAAAAAAUAAAAAAUCUCAAUAAAGGAAUAGUCGUUACCUUGACCAGUGGCUUUAGGACAGAUGAAUCCCAUCAUUAGCAAGCUUGAUCGACGACAGCAAUGGAACAUCCGACAGCGCAACACAAAAAACAGUCCCAACAAGGCUGGUCUGAGCCUGCAUCUGCUUCAAAUCACCAGCUGUUUCAACAGCAGUCUUCAGAUCCGUCUGGAAAACCAGCGAAAACUGUGCUGUUUCCAACGGCGGCAGGGAGGGUAGUACCGUCCUCAAGAACAGCAUUGGAAGCAGAAACCAAAAGCUCAUUGUGCUGAAAUCCGACGGCGACUUUCUAUGACUUGAGUUCAUCGAGACCGUUGUUGAGCACGCUCAACAUUGAUUCGAAUCAAUAGGGUUGCUUCUUUGGGUCGGUGACGUUCGGUGGCAGUUGAACUCUGGCGGUGGAGGAGUAUGAGAUGAGUAUCCCGUUGCACGAUUGUGCAUUGGUAAAGGACAUCGUUGCAAGUAUGAUAAAGUUAUCUACUUGUAUAUUAGCAAAACAUCAACUACUCAAUGUUAUUGAUAUUUAUAACUCAAAUCAACUAUGGUUAAUCAACUUGUCUACUUUUAUAUUCAAUAAUCAAGAAAUUUUAAUCUUACAAAUUGAUUGUCCUGCUGCAAUGAUAGACACUCCAAAAAUUAGGAGACAGCUGCAAAGUUUAUUAAUAAAGGAACCAAGUAACAGAUGUCACAAGCAUACAAUGUCACCAAUGUCAUGAAAGCUAUUCAGUGGAACACCAAGCAAAAGAAAAAUUGGCAUACCAGUUACCAAUAAACAUACAGAAUAAAUAAAAAACUCCCCAAAGAAUAUUCAUCUAAUAAAUCCUAUCAUGCUAUUCGUACCAGCACCUUAUUCUUUUUUCCCGCAGAUAAAAGGAGAACUUUACCAUCCACUAUAUCAGCUGCCUCAAUCCUCUUAUUUUCACUAUCUACUCUGCUAUUAUUCAAGUAAACACCUCCUUGCUUUAACAACCGGCGGGCAGCAGAUUUGCUGUCGAACAAACCAGAAGAAACAGAAAGAUCAACCAAUGACUGAUUCAAAACUUCAUCAUAAGCUAAAGAACAAGACGGGACAUCCUCAGCAAUCCCCUCAAUAGUUUUCCAGUCCAACUUUGUCUCAGAUCCCGGCCUCAACGCUUCAGUCGCCCUAAGAGCUUCGCUCAAACCAUCUUCUCCAUGAACAAAUCGAGUAACUUCUUCAGCAAGCCUACGCUGAGCAGUAUUCGGCAUAUAUCCAGGUCGUUUCAUCUCUUCUUCCAAUUUAACUAUCUCAUAAAUAUCCAAAAAAGUAAGAAUUUUCAAAAACCUAACAACAUCAGCAUCCGGAACUGAGAAAAAAUACUGAUAAAACUUGUAUGGAGAUAACAUGGACGGAGCCAACCAAAUUGCACCAUCCUCUGAUUUACCGAAUUUUGUACCAUCACUUUUCAACAAAAGAGGAAAUGUCAAACCAUAGGUACCACCUUCUACCUGCAAUAUCUUCCUAAUCAACUCAGUUCCAGCAGUUAUAUUACCCCAUUGAUCACUACCCCCAAUUUGAACAUUAACACCCUCAUUCUGAAACAAAUACAAAAAAUCAUAACCCUGCAAUAACUGAUAAGUAAACUCUGUAUAACUCAUUCCAUGUUCAGAUUCUAAUCUCUUCCUAACACUCUCUUUAGCCAUCAUUGAACCUACUCUAGCAUAUUUACCAACCCUUUUCAGAAAAUCCAAUAAACUAAACUCUUUCCACCAAUCAUAAUUGUUCAAAACAACAACAGAAUCAUUACCAUUACCAGAGUUUGGGUGAUUUUGAACACGACCCAAGAUUGUUCUGAUGGUAUUUUCAAUCCCAGCAGUGUUCCUCUCCAAAGUUUGAACAUCAAGCUGAGGUCUUUCAAGGCUUUUCCCUGAUGGGUCACCGACACGCGCGGUGGCACCACCGAUCAACGCGACGACGUUAUGGCCGGAGCGGCGGAACCAUGAGAGAACAAUGAGAGCCAAUAAAUUGCCCAAAUGCAAGCUUUGGGCAGUUGGGUCGAAUCCACAGUAAACUUUUAAGGGUGCGUUGAUGGUGUUUGAUGAAAUGGUUCUGAGAGACUCAUUUGUUAUUGAGUCGAGUAAACCUCUUUGUUCGAGGAUUCCGAUGACAUUCGGAGGUUGUUGGUGUUGGAGAGUGCAGGUUGUUCGAGAAAAGGGGAGGCGUGAAGAAGAAGAAAGAGGGGGUUUGAAUGGAAAGAUGAAGAGCUUGGCGGAAUGAGAGAAGAAAAUCGACCUUGAAGCAAAAUUUGUGGCCAUUGUUGUGUUGAUGCGAUGAUGUUGGGGUUUGGGGGUGGGUGACUGCUGAAGCAAAAAAAUGCUAGUGGAGUUUUUAAUAUAAAAAGAGUAAAAUUACAUUUUAUAAUGUUGCACGGUACGUCAGUGCCUAUAAUCACGUCAAUUUCUUAAUAGUAACAACUAAUAAUAUCAUUUACUUCCAAAAUGAAAAAACAAAAUCUCCAAAUGAAACUCAUGUUAUUGUUGAACUUCCAUGCAUCCUUUCAUCUUCUAUCAAGACAACGUCAGUUUUUUUUUAUUAAAAAAAACAAAAACAAAGAAACUCUUUAGUUACAAACAGUUUCAUUUUUUAUGAAGUCAAAUUAUCAUUGAUAACAAAACAUUUUUAACGAUUGAUGCAUUGGUUUGGUGACCACAAUCUUGCACUUCUCAUGUAACAAUUUGAGUGUCUGUGAUAAUAAACGCACAAAAAGAAUUAUAAUAAAAACAGUAAAAUUAUAAUACUAAAGAACUUUCAAUAGAAAAGUAACAUUUCUAUCACUACAAAUCUACAAUCUUCUGUACCAUAAUAACAAGGUUGAAAGAAUCAUAUCAGUUGAAUAAGUAUUACAACAAAAUCAAAUCUAGACAUAAAGCAUGGAUGUUACCACACCGCGACUCAGUCCUCGAUAUUUCUCAUUCUUGUUUCUGUGACGAGGUCAAUAUAUAUGAAUCAAAUCCUAUCCAGGAAAACAGCAAGCCAGAAUAGCAAAAUCGAACGGAACAUAACCACUACUAUAACAAGAAGACGACUAGCAACAAUGGUAGAAGCAUCAAAGUAGCAAAGGAAAAUUCCUUCCUGGAAGC
rnacentral:lncRNA from 1 species